UGGGGAAUAUUGCACAAUGGGGGAAACCCUGAUGCAGCGACGCCGCGUGAACGAAGAAGGUAUUCGUAUCGUAAAGUUCUGUCCUAUGGGAAGAUAAUGACAGUACCAUAGAAGAAAGCUCCGGCUAAAUACGUGCCAGCAGCCGCGGUAAUACGUAUGGAGCGAGCGUUGUCCGGAAUUAUUGGGCGUAAAGGGUACGCAGGCGGUUUAAUAAGUCGAAUGUUAAAGAUCGGGGCUCAACCCCGCAAAGCAUUGGAAACUGAUAAACUUGAGUAGUGGAGAGGAAAGUGGAAUUUCUAGUGUAGUGGUGAAAUACGUAGAUAUUAGGAGGAAUACCAGUAGCGAAGGCGACUUUCUUGACACAAACUGACGCUGAGGUACGAAAGCGUGGGGAGCAAACAGG
rnacentral:rRNA from 1 species